rnacentral:sRNA from 1 species
AUUUUAUACAAACGCACGGAGACCCAAAUUCAAAGUUAUGUAUGAAGAUAAGUGCUUCCAAAUUUUUACCAGUACAUGUACAACUAUGACAGAAUGUCCCCCAUUUUCAAUGUCAAAAAUGAAUCAAUUUUAUCUGUGCAUUCAAUAAUUAUAAAUAUUUGUCGUUAUCAAUUUUCUAUCUGAUGCUUUGAAUUCUUUUUUUGUUCAUGUUGAAAGAAAUCUUUCCAAUUUGAUCUUCGGUUUGAUUAGGUUAAUUUUAAAACAUAGUCGAAGAGUGCAAGUAUAAAAAUAAGUGGAAGCUUUGAAAUUAACAAAUCUUAAUCCUGUUUCAUUGUUGCCCAUACCCAAAUUUCAAAUAAUUUAUGCAACUUCACAUCCACCCAUUAAUAUCAAACUAUUUUGUAAUAGUCCAACGCUUAUAUUAAUUACAAUUUUUCAUUGGUGGAUUUGAAAUACAUGUAUACCAUAGUAGGAUUAUCGAAUUGAUUAUAUAUUUGCCAUAUCAUACACCUUAGAUUUUCCAAAUUUUAAGGCAUACAGCUACUGACAAAUUCAAAUUAUUCUCAAAUCAAUUUGUCCACGUAUUUCUUGAGCUUUUUUAAAACUGCCUUCAAAAACAUAAUUAAGCAGUGUUCAGUUCUCAGUUCAUUGAUUUAGAGACAAAGUUAACGUUUAUUCCAAUACUUAUACUUCUAUACAGCGUGUAAAUUGUUAAAUGAAAUAAUAUUUUUUACAUGUUGUGAGGUUCAUUAUGCGUAUUACGAGAUCUAUUGAAACCUACAUUGUAGCUACAUAGAGACUGCAAGAACUGGCAUCAGACUUCCAAGAUCCAUAAAUGAGAGAAUUGGCUGUUCCAUCUAUGCAACGUGCGGGUCGACAAUUUACUCACUUUUCAAUUAAGGUUUCUCCAGCCUUGAUGUUUGAUGGUUAAAUCCGUGUGAUAUUUGUCGUAAUUUGAAGAUUAAUAUGUAAACACUCAAAUUGAACUUAAAUAUUGGUAUGUUGUAAAUAUUUAUUUCAUGCUGUAGGAGCUAACACAGGUACACUAUCAGGGCAAUUAUAGCGACGACUGCUCUCCAAUCAAACGUCACAUUUUUUUCACUGAUUUCUAUAUAAUAAAGUAAUUUUUUAAAG